rnacentral:rRNA from 1 species
GUGGGGAAUCUUAGACAAUGGGCGCAAGCCUGAUCUAGCCAUGCCGCGUGAGCGAUGAAGGCCUUAGGGUUGUAAAGCUCUUUCGUGGGGGAAGAUAAUGACUGUACCCCAAGAAGAAGCCCCGGCUAACUCCGUGCCAGCAGCCGCGGUAAUACGGAGGGGGCUAGCGUUGUUCGGAAUUACUGGGCGUAAAGCGCACGUAGGCGGACGGGAAAGUCAGGGGUGAAGUCCCGGGGCUCAACCCCGGAACUGCCUUUGAAACUCCCAGUCUUGAGUUCGAGAGAGGUGAGUGGAAGUCCGAGUGUAGAGGUGAAAUUCGUAGAUAUUCGGAGGAACACCAGUGGCGAAGGCGGCUCACUGGCUCGAUACUGACGCUGAGGUGCGAAAGCGUGGGGAGCAAACAGGAUUAGAAACCCUAGUAGUCC